CGAGAUCGCGCGAGGCUUCGCGGAGAGGGCGGAAGUAGCCAGGAGCAGGCAGUCCUACUCUCGCGAUAGCAAUGACGAGAGCGCGGGCGGAGCUGCCGCUUCACUUUUGCAGUGAUCCAAGGAAUCUGUGAUGACUACAACUUGGAUUUCAGUGCUUUCUAUGCCUGGAUUGGACUGUGGAACAGCUUCUUCCUUGUGAUCUACUCCCUCUUUAAUGUCAGCCUCCUGAUGAAGCUCUUUAAAAGGGAGGAAGAGAGGACAAGAGAGAGAGAGGAGGAAGAAGGAGGGAGGACAGAAAGAAGGAAAGAAGCAGGAAAGAAGCAGAGCUCUGGGUUCAAGAGAGCAGCCUGCAGCUCUUUGAAUGGUCUUGCCAUCCACUUGCUCUCCAUCUCCUUGUGUUGCCCUAGGGGGUGUUCCCUGACAGCACAGGACCUGCCAACAGCAGGGAAACUCCACAUUGACUUCAGCAGAGGGUAAAAAGUGUUUCAGUCCUAACCAAAGCACACUGGGUUUUCAAUUAAAAACACCCCCAAACAGCUGUGAGUUAU